rnacentral:rRNA from 1 species
CAGAUGCUAAUACCGGAUAACAACAGAUGAUGCCUAUCAACUGUUUAAAAGAUGGUUCUGCUAUCACUCUUGGAUGGACCUGCGGUGCAUUAGCUAGUUGGUAGGGUAACGGCCUACCAAGGCGAUGAUGCAUAGCCAGUUGAGAGACUGAUCGGCCACAUUGGGACUGAGACACGGCCCAAACUCCUACGGGAGGCAGCAGCU